ensembl:lincRNA Gm6938 predicted gene 6938
CUUACCUGUUUGGCAAACAUGGGCUGUGAGUCCAAUUCCAGGGCAUCUCCAGCCUGCAAAUCUACCUGCCUGCUGCUAAUAAGGUGUAUCAGGGGAAAAGGAUAGAUCCUACAGCAUGGCUACCGCGGUAGGAAACACUUGGCGAGUAUCCCGCGAAAAAGAACUUCUAGUUCCAGUAGCCUUAGCAGUAGACAGACUUGCUGCUCAGCAGAUUCAGAAGGCACUGAACAUGAACAUCUGCAUGACUGAACUUCAAGGACCUGAGAUUGUGCGACCUUGCAAGACUUGCCAAAAUCUCCUUCCCUGAAACCAGUUCCUCUGGCCACAUGGAAAUCUUCAAAUUCCCAACUGGAAAGCCAGAGAAUGGAGAACCAGAGACCCCAGUGUUCCAUUUACAUAUACCAAUACUAUAGAGUAAUUAUUCCUUCCUUCAUGUCCCGGGAACCAAACCUGUGCAUUCCAUAACUUGUCUAUACAUCCAAUUGUACCUUUCAGCCAUAUUGUAAUGCUCAAAUGAGUUUUUGUGUUGAGUCACCUCAGCCUCUGAUGAAACAUUAGGCUUCUAGAACCCUCAACUGAGGAGUAUGUCAAAGAACUGUUAGCCCAUCUCCAAGGGUACAAGUCCAUCAUGUUCAUGGCUGUGUCUUUAAAACAACCCUUUAACUAUUCCCAAAAAACAUUAUGACCA